rnacentral:lncRNA from 1 species
ACGGUUGAAUGACUUGGGUGAAGAAUCAGCCAGACUUCCUCUCUUCCUCUCUGGAGGUAGGCAGAACCGCGGUUCGUAUGGAAUAACUAUAUGUUGGAGCUUCUUAUAGAUAAUUAACAAGAAGCUGGAUGCACACAUUCUUCCUGUUAUUCAAGGAAGUAUCUUUUAAUAUUUUUAUUAGAAGUAUUUUUUUAAUAUAAAGAGGUGUUUAUUUCAUUUUUUUAACUUUCUAACAACUUUUCAAAGCUUUGAAGUAGCAAUAGGCAAAGAUAUUAUAGAUGUCACCUUGAUAGCAAGGAGGAGAUGAAGUUGAGGGAGAAGAUGAGAAACAGACGAUGCAGUCUUUUAAUUCACAAAUCCCAGAAAAAGCCCAAAACACAUUUAUUUUGUAUUGGUAGAGUACACAUCAAUAAAUCAACUAUUUAGAUUACUUUACACUGCUAUGGUUUAUGAUAAUUUGAAAUUAUAUGUACAUGCCACCUCUAUUACAAUAUAUGACUUUCUGUAUGCAACUUUAAGAUUUGCUAGAGCAAGUAAUAAUUUGAGAUGGCGUU